rnacentral:siRNA from 1 species
UGCCCUUAGAUGUUCUGG